rnacentral:lncRNA from 1 species
UGAUGUUUUUCUAAUUAUAAUACUUAAUUGUAAUACUUGCAAUUGUACAUGUUAGAUUCCAUACAAGAAGAUGGGUGUUGGUGUCUCUACAUGUUUUGAAGUUUGGCUCAUUUUAUAAUCGCAGCAAGGUAGUCUACGAACACAUAAUCGAAUCGAGAGUGCUGUCCAUAUUGUUUUUCUGUUCUAUGAUAGCUGGUUAGAGUUGUAAGAGUAUAUGGAUGAAAACAGGAGAAUUAAAGAAAAAAUUGAUAUUUUAUUUCACAAUCCUUGCACAAAAACAAAAUCAUUCACAAUCCUUCUCUUACUUAUUUUACCUUUUUGUUUUUAAAGAAAAAUCCCAGAUCCCAUUCUCAAUCAUCAAAAGCCCCAUAGAAUCCUUGCCCAUUGGCCAAAUAGCUAGUCUGCCAUGCCAGUCUUAACUCUUCGACUUUAGUUCUCUUUGAUUAUUUUCUUUUGUUUUUCCCCUCUCUCACACUGUCUCCAGCAAAAGAGAUUCAAAUUCACCUUGCUUCAUUUCCCUCUCAUGUCAAAUAAAAUCAAAAAAUCACAGUUCUACUUGAUGGUAGCAACUUCUAUCCAUCAUCCAUGAUUGGAUCACAUAUGCUACGGUCUAAAUGGGUCCAUCCAACCAGUGCAUCAAGACCAUAAAGGCAUAUCUGCAAUCACUAAAGUAUCACUUCUGAUCAUCAUCCAUCAGCAGCGAAAUCUAUAUGGGUCCGCAAAAAAACGUCAUUUCCUCAGCAGAGGUACAUUGUCACAGGCAGUUAACUACCCAGUAAGCAUCACUCAAAACAUGCAACGACACCAUAGAUAUGCGUCAUAAUUGCCACAAGGAUACAAAUCUAUCCGUUUCUUUGGGAGGAAGAAAGGCUUAACCUUGUCCUUGCCUCCUUGGUGUGUGCUGACAAAAGUCUCUUUAGGCAAGGCAAAGUUCAGCAGAUCCACUUCCUAUGAAAGCAGUGGAUGAAUACGAAGUAUAUGCCCACAAAGAGC